rnacentral:lncRNA from 1 species
GUCCACGUAAACGAAGCUCUUCCAUUAAUAUUCGGGGAAGGGUAGUUGCUGUAUAUGCAUGUAUGAUAGCACGUAGAAAAAGAAAAGAAAUAAAAAAAGAAUACGAGUAUCCGUUUGAUCUCGCAACAGUGCCUUGUUGUUCGACCAAAGCUUUCCAAAAGGCCCCUCCACUUGGGCCCUUGGCCUAUGAGAUAUAGCUUGGGUUGAAACUCUUGAUCUGAAUUAUUUGAGAUGUCCG